AUGAAUCUUUGCCAUUGCAGUAAGAAGGACUUUGGUGUAAUAGUAGGCAUGGAUAAAGAUGAUAUCUACAAGAUUCUAAAAGAGGGUUCAGAUGGACCUGAUGCUGUAACUGUUGAUCGACAUGAAAUUAAGAGUGGGCUAUUUGAUUUGAAACUUACUGCCCUAGAUCUGCACAGUAAGACUAUAUUGGUUAAUGAUACUGUCAGGGUGCUUGAGGGUCCAACUAAGGGUAAACAAGGCAUUGUUAAGCACAUUUAUAGAGGGAUUGUCUUUUUAUAUGAUGGAAAUGAGGAAGAAAAUGGACUUAACUUGUAAAUCUAAUAUGUGUGAGAAGGUCAAGCUUGUUGUUGGUGAUUGCAGUGGAAAGGAUAGUGAACCGGGUCCUUUAGUCUUUGAAGACCAACCAUCAUCACCAAGAUCUCCCUUGUCACCAAAAAAACCAUGGCAAGCAAGAGAAAAUAACCGUGAAUUUAACUGUGGGGACAACAACAACAUGUUUACUAUUGGUCAGACGUUGAGAAUUAGGAUAGGUCCUUUGAAGGGAUACAUUUGCCGAGUCAUUGCCUUGCGUCGUGCUGAUGUUACUGUGAAACUAGAUUCUCAGCAGAAGGUUCUUACAGUUAAAUGUGAGCAUCUUUCUGAGGUUCAGGGGAAGAGUACUGCCAUUUCAUCAAGUGGUGAUCCAGAUUCAAGUUCAUCUAAGCCAUUUGAUAUGCUGGGUACUGAAGGCAGCUCUGGAGGUUGGCUAAAUGGAGUGGGAACGUCCACUGGGGCUGGUGGAUGGAAUGCUGGAGGGGCAUCAUCCACUGGGGGUAGUGGAUGGAAUGUUGGAGGGGCAUCAUCAACUGGGGGUGGUGGAUGGAAUGCUGGAGGGGCGUCAUCCACUGGGGGUGGUGGAUGGAAUGCUGGAGGGGCGUCAUCUAAAAGGGAUGCAGGGUCUAAUCAUUCUGCUCCAAGCUUAUUGAAUACAGAAUCUACCUCAAAUCCAUUCAGUUCCAAGGGUGCAGAAGAUUCUGCUUGGGAAACUAAAAGUAAUUCUAAUAAGACCUCCUCAUGGGGUGCUGCAGUGGAUAAGACUGGAAUUGCUUCUAAUGCAGAUCAGUCUGGUGGCUGGGGAAGUGGUGGAGGGAGCUGGGGUCAGGCAGAGCAUAAAACUGGAAGUGUGGGUGAUGGCAAUCAGAAUAGCAAUUGGAAUACAACCAAGGCUUCUGAAGGGGAGUCUUCUGGUUGGAACAGUAUCCAAAAGUCAAAUGAAACUUCAUCAGUUGGAUGGGGUGGUGGCAAUGGGUUUAAAAGUGGAUCAGAUGAAGGAAACUUGAAUUCUACUUGGAGUGGCUGGAAGUCUGGAUCAAGUGGAGUCAAACAAGCUGGGAACCCUGCUGGUACUUCAGAUAUUGAUGCUAAUCAGGAUGCUGGGUGGAAAAACAAACCAAAUAAGGAUGGGAGUGAGUCAUCUGGUUGGGAAACAAAAAACAAUUGGAAUGCUCCAGUCUCUUCAUCAAAUGAUAAAGUGGAAAAAGGUAAUGAUCAAGGUGGGUGGAAUGCAGGAAAAGCUUCAGGUGGUUCGGCUGCAGAUUUCAGUCAAGCUUCUAGUUGGAAAGGGGGGCUGAGUGAGCACACCCAAGAAGGUUCUAAUUGGGGCGACAAGAAAUUUGGUUCAUGCGAUGUAUGUGGUGAUUCCAGUGGAAAUCAGGGUAGUAAUGGUUGGGGUCAGAAAAGCAAUUGGAACUCUGGAUCUAGGAGUGGGAAUGAGACCCAAAAUUCUCACUGGAGUUCUGGGCGUAAUGAGCCUGGAAAUCAAGAUUCCAACUUGGACAAGAAAAGCAAUUGGAACUCUAGAAACAGUGGAAACCUGGCUUCCGAUCCAAAAAGUAGCAAUUGGAAUUCUGGAUAUGAAAAUUCCAACUGGGGAACCAAUGUCAAUAACAAAUCUUCAUGGGGUACUGGAAAUGAAAACAAGAAUUCCAGCUGGAGUUCUGGGCAUAGUGAUCCUGGAAAUCAAGAUGCCAAUCAGGGCAAGAAAAGCAAUGGGAACUCUGGGAACAGUGGUAACCAACCUUCUGAUCCUAAUAGCAAUUGGAACUCUAACAAAUCCUCUUGGAGUGCUGGGAAUGAAAAUAAGAAAUCUAAUUGGAGUUCUGGGGAUCCUGGAAAUAAAGAUUCUAACUGGGGCAACAAAAAUAAUUGCAUUUCUGGAUCUGGUGAUGCUAAUCAAAACACCACUUGGAGAAGCAAUAGCAGCUGGAACACCGCAAAUGCCUCAAGCGAUGAUGGCAAUGAAGGUUCAAAUGAAAAUUCUGAUGGAGUAGGUGGUGGGAACUGGAGAGGUGGUUACCGGGGUAGAGGUGGCUCCGACAGAGGGGGUUUUAGAGGUAGAGGUUUUCGGGGUAGAGGAGAGCGUGACGGUUUCAGUGGACGAGGGGAGCUUGGAGGCUUUGGUGGCCGAGGGGAACAAGGAGGCUUUGGUGGUAGAGGUAGAUCAGACGGGGAAGGUUUUGGUGGUAGGUGGGGAUCAGAAGGAGGACGUGGAGGCCGAGGCAGGGGAAGGAACGAUCAAUCUGGUGGUUGGAACAACAGAAGGGAUUCUGGUGAGGAUGGGCCCUCUGACUGGAAGAAGGGGGCAGAUAAUGGUGGAUGGAAGAAUAGUAAUGGAUCUCAGGCUUGGAACCAAGAUACUGGUGACAAGGAUAGGCAGAGCUGGAGCCAGGGAAAUGCAGAUAAGGAGCAUCCUAGCUGGAACCAAGGAAGUGGAAGAAAUCAGAGCUGGAGUUCAGCAAGUGGAGCUAAUGAUAAUGGAUCUCAGGCUUGGAACCAGGGAAAUGCAGAUAAGGAGCAUCCAAGCUGAAACCAAGUUGGAAAUAAGCAGAGCUGGAGUUCAGCAAGUGGUGGAGGUAACAAUAAUUGGAACAACAAUGGGUCAUCGCAGACUGCAGAGGCUAGCUGGAAAAAAUCUACAACUGAAGGGACCAAUAUCCAGGGUGGUGGGUGGAACAAGGGAUCUAGUUCAAACACUACUUCUAAGGAUGAGACCAUUCAGACACUUGGUUGCCAGUGCUUAUCAAAGUUCAUCUACUGUCAGGUGGAUGCUACUUAUACUCAUAACAUUGAAAAGUUGGUGCCGAAAGUGUGCAUGCUAUCACGGGAACAUGGUGAAGCAUGUGAAAAGCGCUGCUUGAGUGCAUCAAGCUUGCAAUGCCUUUCAGCAAUGGUUUGGUUUAUGGCCGAAUUUUCACAUAUUUUUGUAGAUUUUGAUGAGGUAUGUUAUAAAAUUAAAGAUGCUCCCAUUGAAAUCAUUGUAGCCUUUUAUUGAAGCUUCCUUACAUAUGCAAUUGUAAAUGGUUCCCCAACUUUGAGUCAUUAUUGUUGGACUAGGCAUAUCUCUGAUAAUACUGAGGUGAAAAUAUAACGAAAUAAUUUUUUAGAUGGAGCAGUGAAAGUUUGGUUAGAAGUCCAAGAGGGCAAGUUUGCUUUAGAUAAAGGUUGGGUUAUUGACACGAUAAAUGUGUUGGGAUUAAACCGAAAUGGAGCACUACCUAAAAUUGAGAUAGAUGGAGAACCACCAAUGAGUAUCUCAAAUGCGCAAGUUAGCACAACUGAACAUAAAUACUUGUAUUGGUAGGGAGAUGGAGAGAAAAUAUUGAUGGUAGGGUUGAAGGGUUUGAAUAUCCCUGUAGGUAAAAGUUUUGCUGUGACCUGGAAGAUGGGAUCAUAACUUUGAGAUUGUUUCAUCUUAAUUGAAACUUUGUAACCUUCUUUUAUGUUUUCUAUAAAUCCCAUUAGUGUCGUGGAAGGAGAGAUGAGCUAGAAUUAAGCUCUUCCUUUUCCAUACUAACGGAGGCUUUUAGAUUAAGCUGCCUCUCAAUGUUAUGUUGAAUCUUUGAAAUGCUUGAAUUCAAAUUUCGUUCUGCCUUUGGUGCAUAGUGCACCCUGAUUAAA